rnacentral:rRNA from 1 species
UUCGGAAUUACUGGGCGUAAAGCGCACGUAGGCGGACCAUCAAGUCGGGGGUGAAAUCCCGGGGCUCAACCCCGGAACUGCCUCCGAAACUGCUGGUCUGGAGGUCGAGAGAGGUGAGUGGAAUUCCGAGUGUAGAGGUGAAAUUCGUAGAUAUUCGGUGGAACACCAGUGGCGAAGGCGGCUCACUGGCUCGAACCUGACGCUGAGGUGCGAAAGCGUGGGGAGCAAACAGG